CGCUUAAGACCAUUGCUCAAGAAUGUCACAGGAUCCCACAGCAUCUUCCUCUCUGGCUGAGGCUGGGCAGGUGGCCCGCCUGUGGUCCACCCCGGGUCUCGUCUGCCUCCCAGGGCAGCAGAGGAAGUUCACCCUUGAAGUAUUUCUAAGUUUCCCCUGCAGGUGCCGACUCACAAGCUCUUGUCACUGAGAAGACGGCCAUGUGUGGGACCCUGGCUGCCACCAUCCCACUCUCGGGUCCCUGCGGUCCCAGUUGUGCCUCCAGCCCGGCUCCCAGAGACAGUUUUGAAGGGGGCUGAGUUUGCUCAGAAGCCUCAGCAUCCUCUGCCCAGGGAACAGGACGGCUCCAAGAGUCAGCGCUGGAUCCUUAUUUGCGGACAGAGAACCGGCACUAAGGAGAUCAAGAACUUACUGGAGGAUACAGCCUGGAGGCGGCAGUGCUGGGGUUCAUAUCUGCAGCUUCUGACUUCCAAGGCCAGUGCUCUUUCAAUAAUAAUUGCUGUUUAUAAUUAGCAUAUAUAGUUAUACCAAGAUGUGGUCACCACGGUGUGCUGAGGGUGCUGGAUGCCACUGUCUCAUGGAGGAGGUAACUGCCCACACCCCCCCCCAGGUGGCGGGGGCGCUUGGGUGAUCAGGCCUUAGAUUCCCUGAUGCUGGGUGUGUCCCUGGCCAGCCUGGACCUCCAGCCUGUCCCCAUCAGCCUCUGUGCUGCCAAGGAUCCCAGCUCAGGGCAGGGCAGGGCUUAUCCCUGUUUUCAGGACAUGCAAGAGGCAUGGCCCAGGUCACAUAGCUGCUGGGUGGCAUAGGCCCCUUGCCUGGCAGAGGUGUCUUGGAAGCAGCACAGCCUGUGUGGGGCUUGCUAACGUGGGCCUUGCCCUGAGCUGGCGGCCCUCAGGGGCAGGAGCGCUGCUGGGGAUGCCUCAGGCUCCCCAAGGCUGUGCCCCUCCCUCUUUCCUACAGAGCUGACCUCCUGGAGCCUGGCCUGAGGGCCGCCUGUUCAGGGAACUCGCUCCAGGAAGUGGUUGCUGUUCCUGGGCUGGGCUGCAGGGCUGG
rnacentral:lncRNA from 1 species